UGAUUGUACAUAUAAUUUAUUUGCUAUAAUUUGAGAGAUGUAAUAGUAAUUUGAAAUGUCGUAUCUGUAGAGGUAUCCAAUUGAGCCGAGACGUCCAUUAUAAUGUACUACAGUACUAUACAAUCGGAAGAAGGAACACUCUUUGCCUGUGAUUUGUGACUUGGAAGUAUGAUGUAUGUAGUACAUCCGGGUACUCUGAAGGAGAACUGUUCCCGGUACAUACAUAUGAAAACUCGGUGCAAGCAGAAUUUGCCAUCAGAGAAGAUAGUCUCAAGUUUCUUUUUGUUUUAGGUCAACAUUUCAACAAGGGUCUCUAUGCAUAUAUUUAUGUACAAUCCACCUAAAAUUUGAUUCAACAUGCA